AGAGUUUGAUCAUGGCUCAGGAUGAACGCUAGCGGCAUGCUUAACACAUGCAAGUCGAACGAGGAUCAGAUAGCUUGCUAACUGGUCCUAGUGGCGGACGGGUGAGUAACGCGUAAGAAUCUGCCCCUAGGAGAGGGAUACCAACUGGAAACGGUUGUUAAUACCUCAUAUGCUGAGGAGUGAAAUGGUUUCAUACCGCC
rnacentral:rRNA from 1 species